rnacentral:rRNA from 1 species
UACGAAGGGGGCUAGCGUUGCUCGGAAUUACUGGGCGUAAAGCGCACGUAGGCGGUCUUUUAAGUCGGGGGUGAAAUCCUGGAGCUCAACUCCAGAACUGCCUUUGAUACUGGAGAGCUUGAGUCCGGGAGAGGUGAGUGGAACUGCGAGUGUAGAGGUGAAAUUCGUAGAUAUUCGCAAGAACACCAGUGGCGAAGGCGGCUCACUGGCCCGGUACUGACGCUGAGGUGCGAAAGCGUGGGGAGCAAACAGG